GCACCCAUGUCUUUUGCGCACUUGUUGUUUCCUGGGCGGGUUCGCCCGCCACCAGGACCAAACCAUAAACCUUUUUUUUAUGCAGUUACCAUCAGCGUCAGUAAAAACAAUGUAAUUAAUUACAACUUUCAACAACGGAUCUCUUGGUUCUGGCAUCGAUGAAGAACGCAGCGAAAUGCGAUACGUAGUGUGAAUUGCAGAAUUCAGUGAAUCAUCGAAUCUUUGAACGCACAUUGCGCCCUUUGGUAUUCCAAAGGGCAUGCCUGUUCGAGCGUCAUUUGUACCUUCAAGCUUUGCUUGGUGUUGGGUGUUUUUGUCUCCCUCUUUCUGGGAGACUCGCCUUAAAACGAUUGGCAGCCGGCCUACUGGUUUCGGAGCGCAGCACAUAAUUUGCGCUUUGUAUCAGGAGAAAAGGACGGUAAUCCAUCAAGACUCUACAUUUUUCACUUUUGACCUCGGAUCAGGUAGGGAUACCCGCUGAACUUAAGCAUAUCA
rnacentral:rRNA from 1 species